AAACGGCUACCACAUCCAAGGAAGGCAGCAGGCACGCAAAUUACCCACUCCCGGCACGGGGAGGUAGUGACAAAAAAUAACGAUACGGGACUCAUUUGAGGCCCCGUAAUCGGAAUGAGUACACUUUAAAUCCUUUAACAAGGAUCCAUUGGAGGGCAAGUUCGGUGCCAGCAGCCGCGGUAAUUCCGACUCCAAUAGCGUAUAUUAAAGAAAAAGCUUUGUAGUUGGUUCUGCGUGCCACGCUGUCGGUUCACCGCCUGCCGGUGCUACUGGCAUGCCGUGGCAUGUCCUGUCGGUGGGUGCUUGGGGCCCCGUGCGGGCGGCAGGAGGCCGGGCUCGCUCGCGCUCCUCUUCGCACGUCGGCGGGUCAACUCCGGCUCCCUAUUAUCCUACCUAGGUGCUCUUGACCGAGUGUCGAGGUAGGCCGACACGUUUACUUUGAACAAAUCAGAGUGCUCAAAGCAGGCUGAAUAAUUCUGCCUGAAUGAUGGCGCAUGGAAUAAUAAAACAGGACCUUGGUUCUAUUUUGUUGGUUCUUAAGAUCACAAGGUAAUGAUCAAUACGGACAGGCGGGGGCAUUCGUAUUGCGGGGUUAGACUUGGCAAAUGCUUUCGCGGUGAAAUUCUUGGAUCCUCGCAAGACGACCGAGAGCGAAAGCAUUUGCCAAGUAUGUCUCGAUUGAUCAAGAACGAAAGUUAGAGGUUCGAAGGCGAUCAGAUACCGCCCUAGUUCUAACCAUAAACGAUGCCAGCCAGCGAUCCGCCGAUGUUCCUCCGAUGACUCGGCGGGGAGCUUCUCCCCGGGAAACCAAAGCUUUUGGGUUCCGGGGGAAGUAUGGUUGCAAAGCUGAAACUUAAAGGAAUUGACGGAAGGGCACCACCAGGAGUGGAGCCUGCGGCUUAAUUUGACUCAACACGGGAAACCUCACCAGGUCAGGACAUUGUCAGGAUUGACAGAUUGAUAGCUCUUUCUUGAUUCAGUGGGUAGUGGUGCAUGGCCGUUCUUAGUUGGUGGAUCGAUUUGUCUGGUUAAUUCCGAUAACGAAC
rnacentral:rRNA from 1 species